UACGGAGGAUCCAAGCGUUAUCCGGAUUUAUUGGGUUUAAAGGGUGCGUAGGCGGAUAAAUAAGUCAGUGGUGAAAGCCUGCAGCUUAACUGUAGAAUUGCCAUUGAUACUGUUUAUCUUGAAUAUAGUUGAGGUGGGCGGAAUAUGACAUGUAGUGGUGAAAUACUUAGAUAUGUCAUAGAACACCGAUUGCGAAGGCAGCUCACUAAGCUAUGAUUGACGCUGAGGCACGAAAGCGUGGGGAGCAAACAGGAUUAGAUACCCUGGUAGUCCACGCCCUAAACUAUGAUCACUCGAUGUUGGCGAUACACAGUCAGCGUCUAAGGGAAACCAUUAAGUGAUCCACCUGGGGAGUACGACCGCAAGGUUGAA
rnacentral:rRNA from 1 species